rnacentral:lncRNA from 1 species
CUCUAUGGGGUCUGUAGGGCAUUAGGGGGUCUGUGAGGUUCUAUGAGGUUUGUGGGGCUCUAUGGGGUCUCUGGGGCACAAUAGGGGUCUGUGGGGCUCUAUGGGGUCUCUAUGGGGUCUGGGGGUCUCUAUGGGGUGUGUGAGGCUCUAUGAGGUCUCUAUGGGGCUCUAUAGGGUCUCUAUGGGGUCUGUAGGGCAUUAGGGGGUCUGUGAGGUUCUAUGGGGUUUGUGGGCUCUAUGGGGUCUGUGGGGCUCUAUGGGGUCUUUAUGGGGUCUGUGGGGCACUAUAGGGGUCUGUGGGGCUCUAUGGGGUCUCUAUGGGGCUCUAUGGGGCACUGUGGUGUGUUAUGGGCUCUUAUGGGAUCUAUGGGUCUCUGCAGGCUUCCAUGGGGCGCUAGGAGGUCUCUAUGGGUCUCUAUGGGGGUGCUAUGGGUCUGUAUGGGGCACUAUGGGGCUCUAUGGGGCACUAUGGGGCUCUAUGGGGUCCCUAUGGGUCUCUAUGGAGAUCUAUGGGAUCUGAGGGGCUCUAUGGGGUUCUGUG